UACGAAGGGGGCUAGCGUUGCUCGGAAUCACUGGGCGUAAAGGGCGCGUAGGCGGCCCCGUAAGUGGUGUGUGAAAUCUCCUGGCUCAACCAGGGAAUUGCGCUCCAAACUGCAGGGCUCGAGGGCAGUAGAGGAAGCUGGAAUUCCACGUGUAGCAGUGAAAUGCGUAGAGAUGUGGAGGAACACCGAUGGCGAAGGCGGGUCCCUGGGACGGUACUGACGCUGAGACGCGAAAGCGUGGGGAGCGAACAGG
rnacentral:rRNA from 1 species